rnacentral:rRNA from 1 species
GACAGAGGGUGCAAACGUUGUUCGGAAUUACUGGGCGUAAAGCGCGUGUAGGCGGCCCUGCAAGUCGGAUGUGAAAUCCCACGGCUCAACCGUGGAAGUGCAUUCGAAACUGCAGGGCUAGAGUCCUGGAGAGGAAGGUGGAAUGCUUGGUGUAGAGGUGAAAUUCGUAGAUAUCAAGCGGAACACCGGUGGCGAAGGCGGCCUUCUGGACAGUGACUGACGCUGAGGAGCGAAAGCGUGGGGAGCGAACAGG